rnacentral:rRNA from 1 species
GCUUAUUGUACCCUGAACGUGCCCGAUCUCGUCUGAUCUCGGAAGCUAAGCAGGGUCGGGCCUGGUUAGUACUUGGAUGGGAGACCACUGAGAUCUUGAUGGUCAAUGAGCC